AGGAGAAUAAAGCAGACGGACAGAUCAACAAAGAGCCCAAGAGACCAGAGGGAGGCCGACAUGGACCCGAGAUCACACUGUCUACUGGGCUAGGUUUGACACUUCCCACUCCCAGAACAACAAAAUGAGCUGUGAUCGGCCCGACCCUACUGCUGGCCCCUUGUUGGUGCUGAUUACUGGGAAUUGGCUAUAAUUUUCCAAAGUACUACCAAUUCAAUGAAAACGUUGCUCAGCCUGCUUUUUCCAUUGAGGAAGUGCGGGCCAGGAGGAAAUGAAGUCAAUAUCCUGUCUGUCCCCAGUCCCCCUGCCCCACAAGGGUAGGGGGUGACCACCCACUCAGUGAAUAUGGCCCAAAGGCACCAAAGUCUCUGCCCUGGCAUUGCCAUCCUUUCUCAUCACACACAUGGCCUUAACAUUCCUUGCUAGGAUUGAACAACUAGACAGUGUCUCUAAAUUCAGACUCUGGGGGUCUGUAUGAGCAGGCCAGGUAUUCCUUAGAUACCCUACUUCUCUCUUCCUGA
rnacentral:lncRNA from 1 species